AACUGGGUGAAUAAAUUAAACCAAACUAUUUUACCAUCUUUUUUCUGAAAAAAUAAAUCACUUUUCUUCCCUGCUCCAAUAGGAAGUCUAAUACCAGACAAUGGCCCAAUAGUAAAAUGUUUAGUUCAUGAUUCUUUCGUUCCAAUUUCUCCCAAAUGGAUAUGUUAAAAGUAGUAUUAUCUAAAAUCCAUGAGAUCAAAACAAUAGACCAAUUGAACACCAUUAAGGAGAUUGGUAUGUCAUCAACUUUAAAAUCAUAAUCCACGACUAGAAGUAUUCCUACAGGUAUAGGGGUCGUAAUAAUCUUCUCGGUGACUAUGUCAAAUGACGCUAAGUCUCUUCCAACAAGAUCCUGAAAAUACCACCAAUGACACAUUUCGUUCAUGUGCAAUCACUG
rnacentral:lncRNA from 1 species